GAUAAACGCUGGCGGCAUGCCUAAUACAUGCAAGUCGAACGGGAGUGCUUGCACUCCAGUGGCGAACGGGUGAGUAACACGUAUCUAAUCUACCUUUUAGUGGGGGAUAGCCUUUGGAAACGAAGGGUAAUACCGCGUAAGGUCUACAUUAUCGCAUGAGAAGUAGAAGAAAGUUCCGUUUGGAACGCUGAAAGAUGAGGAUGCGACGCAUUAGUUAGUAGGCGGGGUAAAGGCCCACCUAGACAAUGAUGCGUAGCCGAACUGAGAGGUUAAUCGGCCACAUUGGGACUGAGAUACGGCCCAGACUCCUACGGGAGGCAGCAGUAGGGAAUUUUUUCACAAUGGACGAAAGUCUGAUGAAGCAAUGCCGCGUGAGUGAUG
rnacentral:rRNA from 1 species